AUUGAACGCUGGCGGCAGGCCUAACACAUGCAAGUCGAACGGAGCGGCGGCCGGGUGAGUAAUGCCUAGGAAUCUGCCUGGUAGUGGGGGAUGACGUCCGCAAACGGACGCUAAAACUACAAACUAUCAGAAUAGCCUAGGUCGGAUUAGCUAGUUGGUGGGGUAAAGGCCUACCAAGGCGAAGAUCCGUAACUGGUCUGAGAGGAUGAUCAGUCACACUGGAACUCAGACACGGUCCAGACUCCUACGGGAGGCAGCAGUGGGGAAUAUUGGACAAUGGGCGAAAGCCUGAUCCAGCCAUGCCGCGUGUGUGAAGAAGGUCUUCGGAUUGUAAAGCACUUUAAGUUGGGAGGCGUUACCCACAGAAUAAGCACCGGCUAACUCCGUGCCAGCAGCCGCGGUAAUUC
rnacentral:rRNA from 1 species